rnacentral:rRNA from 1 species
AUGGGCGAAAGCUGAUGCAGCCAUGCCGCGUGUGAUGAAGAAGCCUUCGGGUGGUUAAAGUACUUUCAGUUGUGAGGAAGGGGGUAACGUUAAUAGCGUUAUCUCUUGACGUUAGCACAGAAGAAGCACCGGCUAACUCCGUGCCAGCAGCCGCGGUAAUACGGAGGGUGCGAGCGUUAAUCGGAAUUACUGGGCGUAAAGCGCAUGCAGGUGGUUCAUUAAGUCAGAUGUGAAAGCCCGGGGCUCAACCUCGGAACUGCAUUUGAAACUGGUGAACUAGAGUGCUGUAGAGGGGGGUAGAAUUUCAGGUGUAGCGGUGAAAUGCGUAGAGAUCUGAAGGAAUACCAGUGGCGAAGGCGGCCCCCUGGACAGACACUGACACUCAGAUGCGAGAGCGUGGGGAGCAAACAGGAUUAGAUACCCUGGUAGUCCACGCCGUAAACGAUGGGAACUAGGUGUAGCGGGUGUCGACCCCUGCUGUGCCGAAGCUAACGCAUUAAAUUCCCCGCCUGGGGAGUACGGUCGCAAGGCU